AGUGAACGCUGGCGGUAGGCCUAACACAUGCAAGUCGAACGGCAGCACAGUAAGAGCUUGCUCUUACGGGUGGCGAGUGGCGGACGGGUGAGGAAUACAUCGGAAUCUACUUUUUCGUGGGGGAUAACGUAGGGAAACUUACGCUAAUACCGCAUACGACCUACGGGUGAAAGCAGGGGAUCUUCGGACCUUGCGCGAUUGAAUGAGCCGAAGUCGGAUUAGCUAGUUGGCGGGGUAAAGGCCCACCAAGGCGACGAUCCGUAGCUGGUCUGAGAGGAUGAUCAGCCACACUGGAACUGAGACACGGUCCAGACUCCUACGGGAGGCAGCAGUGGGGAAUAUUGGACAAUGGGCGCAAGCCUGAUCCAGCCAUACCGCGUGGGUGAAGAAGGCCUUCGGGUUGUAAAGCCCUUUUGUUGGGAAAGAAAAGCAGCAGGUUAAUACCCCGCUGUUCUGACGGUACCCAAAGAAUAAGCACCGGCUAACUUCGUG
rnacentral:rRNA from 1 species